GUCCAGACUCCUACGGGAGGCAGCAGUGGGGAAUAUUGGGCAAUGGACGCAAGUCUGACCCAGCAACGCCGCGUGAAGGAAGAAGGCUUUCGGGUUGUAAACUUCUUUUAAGGGGGAAGAGCAGAAGACGGUACCCCUUGAAUAAGCCACGGCUAACUACGUGCCAGCAGCCGCGGCAAUACGUAGGGGGCAAGCGUUAUCCGGAUUUACUGGGUGUAAAGGGAGCGUAGGCGGUGCAGCAAGUCAGAAGUGAAAGCCCGGGGCUCAACUCCGGGACUGCUUUUGAAACUGUUGAACUAGAUUGCAGGAGAGGUAAGUGGAAUUCCUAGUGUAGCGGUGAAAUGCGUAGAUAUUAGGAGGAACACCAGUGGCGAAGGCGGCUUACUGGACUGUAACUGACGUUGAGGCUCGAAAGCGUGGGGAGCAAACAGGAUUAGAUACCCGAGUA
rnacentral:rRNA from 1 species